CACAGGUCUGCGGCAGUUAGGCUGUUUGUGGUGUGUCAGAGCAGAGAAGCUUCUGUUGACUCACAGCAGCGCUCCUGUCUCCACCAAAGAUGCACAGCUGGGUUGUGAUUUGUUGGACUCUCCUGGUCCUGGUUGGUGCUCAUGAAUGUCCAGAUGGAGGAAGGUGCAAAGAGGGUCAAACCUGUUGCAACAGCCCCACUAAUGACUACAAGUGCUGCCCAUUUGAUCAGGCUGAAUGCUGUGAGGAUCAUGUCCACUGCUGCCCAGCAGACACGGUCUGUGACAAAGAAACAUCCAGCUGUGUGAAUAAAACCAUGUCCAUUCCAUGGAAGGAAAGAACAUCUGCAGACCACACCCAAAUCUCCAGAUCUUUCAGGAUGAUCAGGAGCUCCACGGACAACGACUAUGAAACUGUCUGCUCCGAUGAGUCAUGAUGUCCUGCUGAGUAUUCCUGCCAGAAGUCUUUGACUAAGUUUGGCUGCUGCCCAGUAGCUAAAAUAGCAAAAUCCCUUGUGAUGAAAAAGUAGCCUGUCCUGAUGGAACCACAUGCUGCGAACUGCUUUCGGGCAACUGGGGCUGUUGCAUCUACCCUAAUGAACAACUGGGAUUAAAAGCAAGUACAAAGAAGUGCCUCGGCAUGUGAAUUCUUCUCUCAGAGCCUUUUAUAUGGGGUCAGGACCCACUAUGGAUGUUGUGAGCUUUGAGGUGAGCACUCCACACACACCCACACACACCAUGACAUCACCUGGCUUGUGAGUUCUCUGUUUCCAGGAGAGAGAGCAGCAGCUGCAAUCAAUCAGCUGAUCAGUGGGUGGCCUUCAUAAGGAGGACGGAGGACACUGCUAAGCCGCCGGAUGAUUUCGCCUUACUGACUCAGUCAUCUUUCCAUACACCACCUCCUCGCUGUGACCUUUUUGGAUUUACUUCUCGACCAUACUACGUCUGGACUUCACUCCCGGUUCCCGUCCUCCUCACGGCACUAACUGCUCCCAGCACUACAAGCUCUCUCUCCUCCCCCUCCGGUAGUAAAACCUCGCCGAUCUUCAUCACCCCGGAAUACUCAUUCACUCUCCCAGCUCACCCCUCCCUGGAGGUCCUCCACCACGCUACAUCUACGCUGCUCCCGUUUACCCAUUCACUGGAUUUCCAGUGCACCCUAAGUUCUAGUUACCAAAUAAAUCUUUAUUUUUUCA